UGGGCUUGUCCGCCCUCCGUCAGUCUAUUUCCCUUUGUUUACAUAACGUUCAUCCGGGCACUUCCGUGAUUCUUUCCCGUUUGAAACAUGGCGGCCAGUCUCCAGUGACAGCCCACAGCGUUAACGUUACGUCAAUGGGGAUCACGUGACCACAAUACACUCUAGUCAAUAUAUACACCUCUAUGGUACCAACCCUUCUAGAAGACAUGUAUAUUGUACAUCUGUGAAUGGAUGUGAUUCAUAAAUAUAGGAAUACUUGUCUAAUGAAUGCCAGGAACUGAAAUGUGAUUUAGGAUUUGUUGACUUUAAUAUAAUAACAGAUUUCAAGUCUUGAUGGUUGGAGUUUGAUUAUCUGAGCAACUUUUAGCCAGUUUAAUUUUCCUGUGUUCUUUUUUAUAAAGCUUGUAGACGCGCAGUCCUGACUUAGGUGACAGAAACAUCUUGGACCAUGGUAUAACAGUAUCUACCAUCACUACUGAUAGAUCUCCAUCAAUCACCAAAAUAAUGCGAGAGGAAUACCCAUCAAUACAACACCAGUAUGAUGUUUGGCAUAUUCUUAAACAUACAAAAAAAAAAAAAAAAAAUUAUCAUACUGUUAUGAUAGUGUGGGGGUAGAGUUGAGGUUAUUUGACAGUCUAUCAGUCCUGUUUCCAUUCUCAUGAUCAGUCAUCAUUGGUGGUUUUUACACUCUCUUUUCCCACAAAUAGUAAUCUGGAUGGGCAGAAAUGGGACAAGAUUGAUUAAAUAAUAAACGAUUUUUAAGUUCA